CUAACACACAGUGAAAAAAGGUAAGGAACCGCUCGAGCUUGAGUGUCCUUCUCCUCGUCGUCGUCGUCGUCGUUGCUGAGGAUAUUAAUGAGUUUUGGCGUUAAAAUUAAUUGCAUUCUGGAACUUUGAGAAAGAUUUCCAUUUCAAUGCUGGCCAAGUGGCGGGGUCCUGUGUUGGCUGUCCUUUCGAGGUUUAGCAAAAGCAGCGGCACUGACCAGAAAAGGACGAUAGUUUCCGCAGCACUCAGCAUGGAGGCAAGGGUUCUUUCUGCCCUCUCUUCACUUUAGAGGGGAAGCUGACACAGCAGGCGGGUCUUAAUAUUUAACAUAAAACCGAAAAAUGAAAUGAAAUGCGACAAGUCUCCAGUCUCCACUCCACUGUCCAUGAACUGAACUGAAUGUCCCUGCUCCUUUGCCGAAUGGCGGAUGAUGGCAAAACCUUUGUCAAG
rnacentral:lncRNA from 1 species